rnacentral:misc_RNA from 1 species
GGAUGAACAAAAGCAAGAAAAUGGCUGCUACUUAUCUGAACAUUCAAAAUUCUAUUCUCUUGAAUGUUCUGAGAGCUCUGGUGCAGAUGUUGGGACUUUUGGUUUCUGUGGAGUUGCAGUAGUACUUUUUUAGUAGAACAAGUACUGAAUGCAACACUGCCAAGGUGAUGAAGUACUGUCCUCUGUGCUGUACAUUGUGUAUUCAGAUGCAUUAUCACCUGAUGAUUGUUGGAGUGGCUGAAGCCGAUGUCUUCUGUUUGUUGUAUAAUUUUAGUGUGGAGUAUUCUUUUGGGAGCAGGAUUGUGUUCCUUAAUGAGUUAAACAUUUGAAUGUACAUUAUGUAGGAUUAGGACAAUGAUUUAAGGAAAUUCGAUUGUGAUAUUAGUGUGCAUUGGAUACAGUAAUUAUUAAACCAUAUAAAUCUACCCAAGACAGUUCUG